rnacentral:tRNA from 1 species
UAGCUCAGAUGGUAAAGAAUCUGCCUUCAAUGCAGGAGACCCAGGUUCAAUCCCUGG